GAUGAACGCUGGCGGCGUGCCUAAUACAUGCAAGUCGAGCGAACAGACGAUGAGCUUGCUCCUCUGACGUUAGCGGCGGACGGGUGAGUAACACGUGUAUAACCUACCUAUAAUACUGGUAUCACCUCGGGAAACCGGCUCUUAUACCAUAUAAUAUAUUGAUCCGCAUUGUUCAAUAGUGAAAUACGGUGUUUCUGGCUCUUAUAGAUGGUUCCGGGCCGCAUUAGCUAGUUGGUGAGUUCACGGCUUACCAAGGCAACGAUGCGUAGCCGACCGGAGAGAGGGGUAGGCCGCACGGGAGCUGAGACACGGUCCAGGGUACUACGGGAGGGAGCAGUCGGGAAUGUUACGCAGCAGGCGGAAGCAUGGCGGAGCAGCGGCGCGUGAGUGAUGACGGUCUUCGGAGCGUGAAAAUCUGUUAUUGGGGAAGAACAAAUGUGUCAGUAACUGUGCAGGUCUUGACGGUAACUGAUCAGGAAGCCACGGCUAACUACGUG
rnacentral:rRNA from 1 species